UAGUAUUUAGGCGAUCAACGUUUCGACCCAGGAGGUCUUUAUCAAGAUUCUUGAUAAAGACCUCCUGGGUCGAAACGUUGAUCGCCUAAAUACUA